CAUGAUUACGCAAAGCACUGAUAGACGUUCGCUACUGAACAGGCAAUUGAGUGGACAUCUAGUGGCUCUCUGGAAAACUGGUCAUCCAAGAGCAAUGGCAUUACUUGUGAGAAUAAUCCUGCUGGUUUGCUCUAUUACCUUGAAAGCCCUGACGAG
rnacentral:lncRNA from 1 species